rnacentral:rRNA from 1 species
GAUGAACGCUAGCGGCAGGCCUAAUACAUGCAAGUCGAACGGUUGGUAGCAAUACCAAUAGUGGCGCACGGGUGCGUAACGCGUAACCAACCUACCCGAAUCUGGGGGAUAGCCCGCCGAAAGGCGGAUUAAUACCGCAUAAAACGGCAGACCGGCAUCGGUUCACCGUUAAAGAUUUAUUGGAUUCGGAUGGGGUUGCGUGCCAUUAGCUAGUUGGGGAGGUAACGGCUCACCAAGGCGACGAUGGCUAGGGGAGCUGAGAGGCUGGUCCCCCACACGGGCACUGAGAUACGGGCCCGACUCCUACGGGAGGCAGCAGUAGGGAAUAUUGGGCAAUGGGCGAGAGYCUGACCCAGCCAUGCCGCGUGCAGGAUGAAGGCUUUCUGAGUCGUAAACUGCUUUUAUCAGGGAAGAAAAAAG